rnacentral:rRNA from 1 species
UUWCAAAAACAUCUUUUCUUGUUAGUUUUUGAAGUAUGGCCUGCCCACUGAGUGUUUUUGAAGGGCCGCGGUAUUUUGACCGUGCAAAGGUAGCAUAAUCAUUAGUUCUUUAAUUGUGAUCUGGAAUGAAUGGCUUGACGAGAUGCAAGCUGUCUUAGGUUUGGUGAAAUUUUAGUUGAAUUUGGUUUCUGGGUUAAAAUACUCAGAUUUUUUUAUGGGACGAGAAGACCCUAUAGAGUUUUACACUUUUAUUUAUUGAUAUUGUUUGGUUUGAUUUAUUGUUUCUUAAAUAGAUUUAUUGUGUUUUGUUGGGGUGAUGGGAAGAAUUUGUUUAACUCUUCUUUAUUUUGUAUACAUUUAUUUGUGUUAUUAUGAUCCAUUUUUUAUGAUUGAAAGAUUAAAUUACCUUAGGGAUAACAGCGUUAUCCUCCUUGAGAGUUCUUAUUGGCAGGGGGGUUUGCGACCUCGAUGUUGGAUUAAGGUUGAUUUUUGGUGUAGGAGCUGAAUAUAAAUAUUGGGUCUGUUCGACCUUUAAAAUCUUACGUGAUCUGAGU